AUUGAACGCUGGCGGCAGGCCUAACACAUGCAAGUCGAGCGGGGUUUUCAGACCUAGCGGCGGACGGGUGAGUAAUGCGUAGGAAGCUGCCCGAUAGAGGGGGAUACCAGUUGGAAACGACUGUUAAUACCGCAUAAUGUCUACGGACCAAAGUGUGGGACCUUCGGGCCACAUGCUAUCGGAUGCGCCUACGUGGGAUUAGCUAGUUGGUGAGGUAAUGGCUCACCAAGGCGACGAUCUCUAGCUGGUUUGAGAGGAUGAUCAGCCACACUGGAAAUGAGACACGGUCCAGACUCCUACGGGAGGCAGCAGUGGGGAAUAUUGGACAAUGGGCGCAAGCCUGAUCCAGCCAUGCCGCGUGUGUGAAGAAGGCCUUCGGGUUGUAAAGCACUUUCAGCGAGGAGGAAGGGAGUUGUGUUAAUAGCACAGCUUCUUGACGUUACUCGCAGAAGAAGCACCGGCUAACUCUGUGCCAGCCGCCGCGGUAAUAC
rnacentral:rRNA from 1 species